rnacentral:misc_RNA from 1 species
GAGCUUUCAGUCGCGCGCCGGCCGCUGACACGGUUGUACCCCACGUGUGCAUUUAAUCCCCGUUUCGAUAAAACCUUCGUCAAAAAUCCAAACCGCACCCCACCAUCGAGCCGCUUCCCUCCCUCAUUCCUUGCUCGAUAAAAAAAGCGCGCGCGCCUCGCAUGAUAUCCGACUUUGAACAAGCUUACGGUUUAUGUUGAGCAGUUUAUUUAUUCAAUAUUGAACGAAUCGAUGUAAAGAAACUGCCUUUUGCUCAUUGGGAAAAUUCCGAUUUUUCAUAGAUUUUACUCUCUUUCAACUCGACUUUUUUUAUCGCGUUAAAUAUCCUUCGCCUCGGUCGCACUUUUCUCAAGCUCCGUCGUAUCGUGCAUCUCCUUUCUUGCGACCGUGGAACGUCGAACGAGUGACUCGGCAAACUUGAGGCUUCCAGAUUACCAGGAUAAUUCAACAAACUCGACUUUGGCCUGGCAGGAGGACACGAAAUCACUUGGAGAAAACCUACGGAAUGUAGAAACAUUACGACUCGUUUGAAGUUCCGAAUGGAAGAGCCGGCCGUAAGAAAAACACCACACAACAGUACAAAGUGAAAACGCCGGUUGGCAUGCGUGCGCGAGUACACGAAGGUGCGGUUGUGUGUGCGCGUGUGUUCGCUCGACGGGUGGAGCGCCUCGAGGGUGGGUCUUCGAAAUGAGCUAUGAAGAGCAUCCUGGGCUGCCUGCUAGCCUCCGUCUUAAUUUUCCAACUCUCGAACUUUCACGUUACAGCUCUACCACCCGUGGUCAAAAUAGGUGCAAUAUUCACUCAUGACCAAAAGGACAGCAGCACCGAGCUGGCAUUCAAAUACGCCGUAUACAAAAUAAACAAGGACAAAGUUAUACUGCCAAAGACCAAUUUGGUCUACGAUAUUCAGUACGUGCCCAAAGAUGAUUCUUUCCACGCGUCCAAGAAAGCUUGUCAGCAAGUCAAAUUCGGGGUACAGGCCGUCUUCGGGCCAUCCGAUCCCAUUCUGGGACAGCACAUACACAGCAUCUGCGAUGCCUUGGACAUUCCGCAUCUGGAGGUCAGGCUGGACCUGGACGCGGAGGCGAAAGAGUUCAGCAUCAACUUACAUCCCGCACAAAAACUGCUCAACGCGGCAUAUCAGGACGUCAUGGACUUCCUCAACUGGACCAAAGUCGCAAUCGUUUACGAGGAUGAUUAUGGUCUCGUAAAGUUACGAGAACUGGUCCGAUCGCCAAGAUCUCGCGACCUCGAGAUCCACCUCAGACAAGCCGACCCAGCCUCCUACAGGCCAGUGCUGUCUGAAAUCAAGUCCAAAGAGAUUAGAAAUCUCAUCGUCGACACCAAAGCCGAGCACAUGCAUCAUUUCCUACGAAUGAUACUGCAGUUACAAAUGAACGAUUACAACUAUCACUAUCUCUUCACUACUUUUGAUAUUGAGACUUUCGAUCUCGAAGAUUUCAAGUACAAUUUUGUCAACAUCACUGCCUUUCGAUUAGUCGACGCGGACGAUAUUGGAGUUCGCGGUGUAUUGCGAGACAUGGAACGUUUUCAACCUUCCGGCAAUACGAUAUUGAACAAGUCUCGUGUGAUUGAGGCUGAACCGGCUCUGAUGUACGACAGCGUGCAGGUUUUCGCGGUUGGUCUCCGAACUCUGGAACAGUCGCACGCCCUGAGACCCGCAAAUUUAUCCUGCGAGCUCGAGCAUCCCUGGGACGGUGGACUAUCCCUCAUCAACUACAUAAACUCGGUUGAGAUGAAGGGGAUUUCCGGACCCAUAGAGUUCAAGGAGGGAAGGAGAAUCCAGUUCAAGCUGGAUCUGCUGAAACUCAAGCAGCACUCUUUAGUCAAGGUCGGAGAAUGGCAACCUGGGGCCGGAGUCAAUGUGACAGACAGAGCAGCAUUUUUCGAGCCUGGUAUUGCAAACGUGACUCUCAUCGUCAUUACUAUCCUGGAACAGCCGUACGUAAUGCUGAGGAGCCAAGGAAAUUUCAGCGGUAACGAACGUUACGAGGGUUUCUGCAUCGACCUUCUCAGGGAGAUUGCCCAAAUGGUCGGCUUCACCUAUAGGAUCGAACUUGUGCCUGACGGAAAGUACGGCGUUUACGAUUAUGAGACCGGCGAGUGGAAUGGAAUAGUUCGCCAAUUGAUGGACAAGAAAGCAGAUCUAGCCGUGGGCUCGAUGACGAUUAAUUAUGCUCGCGAGAGUGUCAUAGAUUUCACAAAGCCUUUUAUGAACCUCGGAAUUUCCAUUCUUUUUAAGGUGCCCACGAGUCAUCCAGCUCGAUUAUUCUCCUUUAUGAAUCCACUGGCGAUCGAAAUCUGGCUGUACGUACUCGCAGCAUACGUACUAGUCUCCGUUACGAUGUUCGUGGUGGCACGUUUCAGUCCUUACGAAUGGAACAAUCCUCACCCCUGUCAUUCCGGUCCCGAAGUUGUGGAAAAUCAAUUCUCACUGGCCAAUAGUUUUUGGUUCACCAUCGGGACUUUGAUGCAACAAGGAAGUGAUUUAAAUCCGAAGGCCACGAGUACGAGAAUCGUCGGUGGGAUCUGGUGGUUCUUUACUCUCAUAAUUAUUUCGUCGUACACCGCAAACCUCGCAGCUUUUUUGACCGUCGAGAGGAUGAUCACGCCGAUUGAAAACGCCGAAGAUCUCGCUGGCCAGACGGACAUCACUUACGGGACUCUCGAGAGCGGCAGCACGAUGACGUUCUUUAGAGAUUCUAUGAUCGAAACGUACAAGAAAAUGUGGCGGUUUAUGGAGAACAAAAAGCCAUCAGUUUUCGUGCCAACGUAUGAAGAAGGUAUUCAAAGAGUACUGCAAGGAAAUUAUGCUUUUCUCAUGGAAUCGACGAUGCUCGAUUACAUCGUUCAAAGGGAUUGUAACCUCACGCAAAUUGGCGGGCUGCUCGAUACCAAGGGUUACGGAAUUGCAACGCCGAUGGGCUCAGUUUGGAGGGACAAAAUAUCACUUGCGAUUCUAGAACUUCAAGAAAAAGGUGAAAUUCAAAUGCUGUACGACAAAUGGUGGAAAAGUCCUGGAGACACUUGCAUGAGGACAGAAAAGGGCAAAGAAAGCAAAGCCAAUGCUCUGGGAGUUGAUAACAUAGGUGGAGUUUUCGUCGUCCUUCUAUGUGGCUUAGCGUUUGCUGUUCUCAUCGCAAUUUUCGAGUUUUGUUACAACUCCAGAAAAAAUUCACUCCCUGAACGCAGAGAACUGAUCGACUGAAAACGACGAUUUUACACUGCCUUUAUUUCCGGACCUAAAAUAUGAUCACGGGCAAAGGCCACCGGUACCUGCACCACCGCCAACUUGUUCAAGCUCACUUCAAGGCAUACCUCAAGCAUUGCAGCAGCAAAGUCAACAGCAACAAGAAUCUCUGUGUUCGGAAAUGGCACGAGAAUUGUGUCGUGCU